GCAAUGAACAAAGAGCAAAUGGAACUGAGAAGGAUGAAGGAACAGCAGCAAAAUAACAGAAACUCCAGUGAUUUGGAUACAGGCUUUGGAAGAACUCAAAAUACAAUUCAAAACACAAUUAAGAGAAGCUGAAGACAACUGGGGAAAGAACUUAAAAGCAAGAUAAGUCAUCUGGAAACAGAAAACAGUGUCUUGAAAACCAAAAUUAAUCAGCUUGAAAAUGAGGCAAAGGAGAUGAAAGAUCAGAAGUAGAAGGAUGACCAAAAAGCCAGGGAUGCAAUCGAGUCUUUAAUAUCCAGAAUACAACAACUAGAAGCAAGUGACUUCACAAGGCAGCAGGACACUAUAAAACAAAACCAAAAGAAUGAAAAAAUUGAGGAAAAUAUGAAGCAUCUCAUUCAUAAAACAGAAGAUUUAGAAAAUCAUUCCAGGAGAGACAACUUAAGAAUCAUUGAUCUACCAGAAGACCAUGACAAAAGAAAAAACCUGGACAUCAUACUACAGAAAAUUAUCCAAGAAAAACUGCCCUGAUAUUCUAGAACAAGAGGGAAAAGUGGAGAUUGAAAGAACCCACAGAUCACCUUCUAUACUUAAUACCCAACUGAUAACACCCAGAAAUGUUAUAGCCAAAUUCAAGAACUAUCAGACUAAGGGAAAAAUAUUACAAGCUGCUAAGAAGCCAUUCAGAUACCAUGGAACCACAGUGGGGUUAACACAGCAUCUGGCUGCAUCUACUCUGAAGGACCAAAAGGCAUGGAAUAUGAUAUCCUGGAAAGCAAGGGAACUAGGUCUACAACCAAGAAUCAACUAUCUAGCAAAACUGACUAUAUUCUUACAGGGGAAAGUAUGGUCAUUUAACAAAAUAGAAGAAUUCCAAGCAUUUGUAAAGAAAAGACCAGACCUGAACAGAAAAUCUGAUGCACAAACACAGAACUCAAAAGAAUCAUCAAAAGAAAAAACCAUGACAAAAUUCAUUUGGAAGAACAAAAGAUCAAGGAUAUCCAGGGAAAUAAUGGAGAAAAAAAUGAAGGUGGCCUUGCAGUCCCAGAUCUCAAACUAUACUAUAAGGCAAUGA
rnacentral:lncRNA from 1 species